rnacentral:rRNA from 1 species
CCUACGGGAGGCAGCAGUGAGGAAUCUUGGUCAAUGGGCGCGAGCCUGAAGCAGCCAAGUCGCGUGAGGGAAGACGGUCCUAUGGAUUGUAAACCUCUUUUGUCGGGGAGCAAAAGACGCCACGCGUGGCGUUCCGAGAGUACCCGAAGAAAAAGCAUCGGCUAACUACGUGCCAGCAGCCGCGGUAAUACGUAGGGGGCAAGCGUUAUCCGGAUUUACUGGGUGUAAAGGGAGCGUAGACGGCUGUGCAAGUCUGAAGUGAAAGCCCGUGGCUCAACCGCGGAACUGCUUUGGAAACUGUAUAGCUUGAGUACUGGAGAGGCAGGCGGAAUUCCUAGUGUAGCGGUGAAAUGCGUAGAUAUUAGGAGGAACACCAGUGGCGAAGGCGGCCUGCUGGACAGAAACUGACGUUGAGGCUCGAAAGCGUGGGGAGCAAACAGGAUUAGAUACCCUAGUAGUC